UACGUAGGUGGCAAGCGUUAUCCGGAUUUACUGGGUGUAAAGGGCGUGUAGGCGGGAGCGCAAGUCAGAUGUGAAAACUCAGGGCUCAACCCUGAGCCUGCAUUUGAAACUGUGUUUCUUGAGUGCUGCAGAGGCAAUCGGAAUUCCGUGUGUAGCGGUGAAAUGCGUAGAUAUACGGAGGAACACCAGUGGCGAAGGCGGAUUGCUGGACAGUAACUGACGCUGAGGCGCGAAAGCGUGGGGAGCAAACAGG
rnacentral:rRNA from 1 species